GACGAACGCUGGCGGCGGGCUUAACACAUGCAAGUCGAACGGAAAGGCCCUGCUUUUGUGGGGUGCUCGAUUGGCGAACGGGUGAGUAACACGUGAGUAACCUGCCCUUGACUUUGGGAUAACUUCAGGAAACUGGGGCUAAUACCGGAUAGGAGCUCCUGCUGCAUGGUGGGGGUUGGAAAGUUUCGGCGGUUGGGGAUGGACUCGCGGCUUAUCAGCUUGUUGGUGGGGUAGUGGCUUACCAAGGCUUUGACGGGUAGCCGGCCUGAGAGGGUGGCCGGCCACAUUGGGACUGAGAUACGGCCCAGACUCCUACGGGAGGCAGCAGUGGGGAAUAUUGCACAAUGGGAGGAAGCCUGAUGCAGAAACGCCGCGUGCGGGAUGACGGCCUUCGGGUUGUAAACCGCUUUCGCCUGUGACGAAGCGUGAGUGACGGUAAUGGGUAAAGAAGCACCGGCUAACUACGUG
rnacentral:rRNA from 1 species